AUUGAACGCUGGCGGCAUGCCUUACACAUGCAAGUCGAACGGCAGCGGGGGAGAAGCUUGCUUUUCCUGCCGGCGAGUGGCGAACGGGUGAGUAAUACAUCGGAACGUGCCCUGUAGUGGGGGAUAACUAGUCGAAAGAUUAGCUAAUACCGCAUACGACCUGAGGGUGAAAGUGGGGGACCGCAAGGCCUCAUGCUAUAGGAGCGGCCGAUGUCUGAUUAGCUAGUUGGGGGGGUAAAGGCCUACCAAGGCGACGAUCAGUAGCUGGUCUGAGAGGGCGAGCAGCCACACUGGGACUGAGACACGACCCAGACUCCUACGGGAGGCAGCAGUGGGGAAUUUUGGACAAUGGGCGAAAGCCUGAUCCAGCAAUGCCGCGUGUGUAAAGAAGGCCUUCGGGUUGUAAAGCACUUUUGUCCGGAAAGAAAUGGCUCUGGUUAAUACCUGGGGUCGAUGACGGUACCGGAAGAAUAAGGACCGGCUAACUACGUGCCAGCCGCCGCUGUAA
rnacentral:rRNA from 1 species